GAACGUGCGAGUGCACGUUCACACAACACAAAGGAAUCGCCUGGGUCUCCCUGCCUGGGCGAUUCUUUU
rnacentral:sRNA from 1 species